UGCAGCUUUCACAGAAGCAAGCAGGGAACAGACCUGUACCCAAUGCCACUCCUCUGUGUAGGAGCCCGCUCCGCGGCUCUGCAGGUGAGGAGCCAUGGCCAUCAGAUCAGCUGCGGCACGAGUAAUGGACACUUUCCUCGUCUUCAAUCACUUUACCUCCUGAAGGUAAAGCUAGAAUCGGAAAAGCCAAAAUAAAAAAUGUCCCAAGACCCGGAAGACUCACACUUGCCAGGGGACAAGCGUGCCCUUUGGAGGCCGGUCUCCUUGUCCUACUCCAGACAAGGUGGCUGCCGACGCCCCUAGAGCCUGGGCAGAUCCAAUCCCGUCAUACAACCGUGCAGAGCCACCCCACUGCCGAGGUUCUUGUCCACAGCUAAGAUCACAGGCACAGCCUCAUGGCAGCAUGCAUGGCGUGAAGGGGACCGGCCUUGCUCACUGCCCAUUGCCGUUCCACCACUGUGGUUACUGCCAGCAUUUUCAUCUUGGAGACAAGAAGAAACCCCGGGCUUCUUGGAAGUUCACCUGGCUAGUAGCUGCGGUGCUUACUGAACUUUUUGUCUUGUCACCUCCAUGUCCCACCCUGGGGACAAAGGACUGCGAUGUGAUGCCUGGAAGCAGCAUUGUCUGUCCCUCCACGCCUUCCAAACCUCUUCUUCUCCCUGACUCAAGCUCCGAUAUGUCAGGUAGGGGUAUUUACAUGUUUAUGGAGCGAUGGAAAAAACGCUUUCCCAGGAUGCGGUUACUUUAUUCUUCUUUCCAUCUGGACAUGUGGGGAAUGAUCACAUUUAUCCCAUGUAGCAUUUUGAGGACAUGCAAGUGGAUUGUUUAAACACACAUUUUAAGAUGCAUUUGUUUAUGUAUCAAACAUAUUUACAGAGAGCCUAGUAGGGGCGUGGAAUAAUGUUAGCCAAGGUGCGAGAGUGAACAUAACAGCUUUUCUUUCUCUCCCAAGCAGCACAGUUAAGCAGAGGAGGCGCAGGUCGUACAUUUGCACAAAGAAACACGCAUGUUGUGAAUGGGCGAGCGUGGGGGAAGAGGAGCAUGAGUGUCUCAUUUGAUUUUCAUCAUUGGGAUACUUGUUUUUGAGAAAGUGAUGUUUAAACUAAGAUCCAAAGGGGCGUUGGGAUGCAUCCAAGCAAAGGGACGGGGGUGGCACAUUCCAGAGAGGUGGGAACCCAUGUGGUGGAAGCAGAGCAGGGGAGGACGUGGGUGUGGCAUGUGUCCUGCACGGCCACAGAGAGAACGUGGCUUUUAUUGUAAAAGCAGAGGGAAGCUGCUGAAUGAUCCUGUGAUGGCAUAACUUGUCUCUCCUACUAGACUGUGAACCCCGCAAGGCCAGAAACCCACAUGAACAUGGUGUUGCCCCUCCCACAGCAGCAGAUACUGUGAUUUGCUAACUAAAUAUUUGCUAACUAGAAUGUCCUAAGUUAGAGAUAGCAAGGGUGCUGUCUGAGGUCUUUCACUCAAGCUUUGCUGCAACUCAGAAGGUCCUCGAGCUGCGAGAAGAAUAGAAUGUUAACUUUGUUCCAUCGAGCCAGGACUUCAGAUUUGUUUCUUCUUGUUCCCUCUGGGGUUUUCAAGAUAUUACAUGGAGCUGGUGAAUGUUUCACAUCGUGCUUGGUGGUCACUUCACAGAAAGAAAUGCACAGAAACACCCCAGGGCACGGGGCCUGAUGUUGGGGUCACGGACCGGCGCCUCGUGGAGCAGAGAGGGAGUGAGAGAGAUGGUGGAAGAGGCAAAGGGAGAGAGAAAAUCCCAAGCCGACUCCUCAUUCCGCGUGGAGCCCCAUGCAGGCUCGAUCUCAUAACCCUGAGGUCACGACUUGACCAGAAAUCAAGAGUCGGAGGCUUAACGGACCGAGCCCCCCAGGCACCCCUGUACACUCGCUA